rnacentral:lncRNA from 1 species
UCUUGUAUCCACUGACUGUCUUGUUAGAUUAACCCAAUAAAUUUCAUUCAUUCCGCAUACUCAAUCCUACAGACAUCCUUUUAAUUCUUCAAUCACAGACGUAACUCGAUUUCACAAAACAGUCAAGAGUAAUCAAACCCACUUCAUUAAAAAAUCCCGAUUCACUAUUACAACACUGACUUCAGCAACGAUUGCCUCAGUCUUUCCAAAACCCUAUGAAAAAAAAAAAAACCCAAUUCUCUGUCUUCUUUUUCCGCUCGAAGCAUGA